AUACGUAGGUGGCAAGCGUUGUCCGGAAUUAUUGGGCGUAAAGCGCGCGCAAGCGGUCCUUUAAGUCUGAUGUGAAAGCCCACGGCUCAACCGUGGAGGGUCAUUGGAAACUGGGGGACUUGAGUGCAGAAGAGGAAAGUGGAAUUCCAAGUGUAGCGGUGAAAUGCGUAGAGAUUUGGAGGAACACCAGUGGCGAAGGCGACUUUCUGGGCGGUAACGGACGCUGAGGCGCGAAAGCGUGGGGGGCAAACAGGGUUAGAUACCCUGGUAUUCCACGCCGUAAACGAUGAGUGCUAAGUGUUGGGGGGUUUCCGCCCCUCAGUGCUGCAGCUAACGCAUUAAGCACUCCGCCUGGGGAGUACGGUCGCAAGACUGAAACUCAAAUGAAUUGACGGGG
rnacentral:rRNA from 1 species